CCGGUUGAUCCUGCCGGAGGCCACUGCUAUCGGAAUUCGGCUAAGCCAUGCUAGUCAGAGAGCAAUCUCGGCGUAAGGCUGAGUAACAUGUGGGUAAUCUGCCCUUAGGUGGAGGAUAACCCCGGGAAACUGGGGAUAAUACUCCAUAGGCAAUUCGUGCUGGAAUGCUGUUUUGCUUAAAGGCUUGCCGCCUAAGGAUGAGCCUGCAUCCUAUCAGGCUGUUGGUGAGGUAAUUGCUCACCAAACCUAUGACGGGUAGGGGCCAUGUGAGUGGGAGCCCCCAGAUGGGUACUGAGACAAGGACCCAGGUCCUACGGGGCGCAGCAGGCGCGAAAACUUCGCAAUGCCCGAAAGGGUGACGGGGGAAUUCCGAGUGCUAUUCACUUAGUGGAUAGCUUUUGGCGAUUGUAAACAGAUUGCAGAAUAAGGGCUGGGUAAGACUGGUGCCAGCCGCCGCGGUAACACCAGCGGCCCGAGUGGUGGUCGGUAUUAUUGGGCCUAAAGCGUCCGUAGCCGGACAUUCAAGUCUCCGGGUAAAUCCAGCGGCUUAACCGUUGGAAUUCCGGGGAUACUGUUUGUCUUGAGGUCGGGAGACGGUAUGGGUACUCCUGGUGUAAGGGUGAAAUCUUCUGAUCCCAGGGGGACCACCUGUGGUGAAAACGCAUACCGAGAACGAGCCUGACGGUGAGGGACGAAGCCUGAGGGAGCGAACGGGAUUAGAUACCCCGGUAGUCUCAGGUGUAAACAAUGUCCGUUUGGUGUUGCAUACGCUACGGGCGUGUGCAGUGCCGAAGCGAAGGCGUUAAACGGACCGCCUGGGGAGUAUGACCGCAAGGUUGAAACUUAAAGGAAUUGACGGGGGAGCACCACAAGGGGUGGAUGCUGCGGUUUAAUUGGAUUCAACGCCGGG
rnacentral:rRNA from 1 species